ACGGGGGGGGCAAGCGUUAAUCGGAAUUACUGGGCGUAAAGCGUGCGCAGGCGGUUCUCCAAGUCCGUUGUGAAAGCCCCGGGCUCAACCUGGGAAUGGCAGUGGAAACUAGGGGACUGGAAUCUGGCAGAGGGGGGUGGAAUUCCGCGUGUAGCAGUGAAAUGCGUAGAGAUGCGGAGGAACACCGAUGGCGAAGGCAGCCCCCUGGGCUAACACUGACGCUCAGGCACGAAAGCGUGGGGAGCAAACAGGA
rnacentral:rRNA from 1 species